rnacentral:rRNA from 1 species
CCUACGGGAGGCAGCAGUGAGGAAUAUUGGUCAAUGGGCUUACGCCUGAACCAGCCAAGUCGCGUGAGGGAAGACUGCCCUAUGGGUUGUAAACCUCUUUUGUCAGGGAGCAACGCCGGCUACGUGUAGCCGGACUGAGAGUACCUGAAGAAAAAGCAUCGGCUAACUCCGUGCCAGCAGCCGCGGUAAUACGGAGGAUGCGAGCGUUAUCCGGAUUUAUUGGGUUUAAAGGGUGCGUAGGCGGAAUGCCAAGUCAGCGGUAAAAUCGCGGGGCUCAACCUCGCUCCGCCGUUGAAACUGGCGGUCUUGAGUGUGCGAGAAGUAUGCGGACUGCGGGGGGUAGCGGUGAAAUGCAUAGAUAUCACGCAGAACUCCGAUUGCGAAGGCAGCAUACCGGCGCCCAACUGACGCUGAAGCACGAAAGCGUGGGUAUCGAACAGGAUUAGAUACCCCAGUAGUC